ensembl:lncRNA
AACAAUCUCCCAAAUUAGUGCAUUAUGCUUCAUGUUUCAUCUUGUUUGUAUAGGGAUCAGCUUGCUACUAAGGAAAUUAGAUUUCCUGUUGAGGAAUACAAGCUUCUGUAAACUUCAUUUAAGCUUGCAAAGCCUGUGCCAUCAAGACUCUUCUGAAGUUUCUGCCGGCCCUGAUUCUGCAAUCCAAGACCUCAACAGGAAAUCUAAAGGUGGGAGUCUAUUGAAUAACAAAGACCAGAAUUCAAUCUGUGAAAAGAAUGAGCUGGGAAUGAGAAAUGAAAUUGAUUUGGUCCACUCCUCGCUAUAUUUCAAAUGCUGUCCAUCAAACAUGCCUGAGAGGAGCUGUAAGAGCACCAACAGGGCUGCCAGUUGCAACAGGCCUACUGAUC